rnacentral:rRNA from 1 species
UACAGAGGGUGCGAGCGUUAAUCGGAAUUACUGGGCGUAAAGCGUGCGUAGACGGUUAUUUAAGUCGGAUGUGAAAGCCCCGGGCUCAACCUGGGAAUGGCGAUGGAUACUGGCUCGCUAGAGUGCGGUAGAGGAGAGUGGAAUUCCCGGUGUAGCAGUGAAAUGCGUAGAGAUCGGGAGGAACAUCAGUUGCGAAGGCGGCUCUCUGGACCAGCACUGACACUGAGGCACGAAAGCGUGGGGAGCAAACAGG